UACGUAGGGGGCAAGCGUUGUCCGGAAUCAUUGGGCGUAAAGAGCGUGUAGGCGGCCCGGUAAGUCCGCCGUGAAAGUCCAGGGCUCAACCCUGGAAUGCCGGUGGAAACUGCCGGGCUGGAGUCCGGAAGAGGCGAGUGGAAUUCCUGGUGUAGCGGUGAAAUGCGUAGAUAUCUGGAGGAACACCGGUGGCGAAGGCGGCAUCCUGGACCGACACUGACGCUGAGGAGCGAAAGCCAGGGAGCAAACGGG
rnacentral:rRNA from 1 species